rnacentral:misc_RNA from 1 species
UUAAGUUCAGCGGUAUCCUACCUGAUCCGAGGUCAAGCAUUUAGAAAUUUCAUCAAUUGACUGACAACAUCCUACCAGCUAGACGACGUUUGUGCGCCUGUGGUUGAAUAUCACCAUCGCUGAUUUUGAGGCAUGCCUUUAGGCAUUGCCCAACGCCAAAGAGUUAACUUUGAGGGGUGUAAUGACGCUCGAACAGGCAU